rnacentral:rRNA from 1 species
CAGUCGCCACGGGAAUACAGAGGGUGCGAGCGUUAAUCGGAUUUACUGGGCGUAAAGCGUGCGUAGGCGGCUUUUUAAGUCGGAUGUGAAAUCCCUGAGCUUAACUUAGGAAUUGCAGUGGAUACUGGGUCACUAGAGUGUGGUAGAGGAUAGUGGAAUUUCCGGUGUAGCAGUGAAAUGCGUAGAGAUCGGAAGGAACAUCUGUGGCGAAGGCGACUAUCUGGGCCAACACUGACACUGAGGCACGAAAGCGUGGGGAGCAAACAGGAUUAGAUACCCCGGUAGUCCCUGUCUCUUAUAA